rnacentral:rRNA from 1 species
GAUGAACGCUAGCGGCAGGCCUAAUACAUGCAAGUCGAACGGUCCACUUCGGUGGAUAGUGGCGCACGGGUGCGUAACACGUAUGCAACCUACCUUACAUUGGGGGAUAGCCUUUCGAAAGGGAGAUUAAUACCGCAUAAGACAGUAACAUGGCAUCAUGUAGCUGUUAAAGAUUUAUCGAUGUAAGCUGGGCAUGCGUCCAAUUAGUUAGUUGGUGAGGUAAUGGCUCACCAAGACGAUGAUUGGUAGGGGAACUGAGAGGUCAAUCCCCCACACUGGCACUGAGAUACGGGCCAGACUCCUACGGGAGGCAGCAGUAGGGAAUAUUGGGAAAUGGACGCAAGUCUGACCCAGCCAUGCCGCGUGCAGGAAGAAGGCGUUCUGCGUUGUAAACUGCUUUUAUAUAGGAAGAAACGACCCUUGCGAGGGGCAUUGACGGUAUUAUAUGAAUAAGCACCGGCUAACUCCGUGCCAGCCGCCGCCGUAAUAC